AGAGAUGCAGGUCAGUGAUAGAACAUCUGCUUUGCAUGCAGAAGGUCUCAAGUUCAAUCCUUGGCAUGUUCA